UGCAAGUCGAACGGUAACAGGGAGCUUGCUCCGCUGACGAGUGGCGAACGGGUGAGUAAUGUAUCGGAACGUACCUUUCAGUGGGGGAUAACGUAGCGAAAGUUACGCUAAUACCGCAUAUUCUGUGAGCAGGAAAGCAGGGGAUCGCAAGACCUUGCGCUGAUUGAGCGGCCGAUAUCAGAUUAGCUAGUUGGUGAGGUAAAGGCUCACCAAGGCGACGAUCUGUAGCGGGUCUGAGAGGAUGAUCCGCCACACUGGAACUGAGACACGGUCCAGACUCCUACGGGAGGCAGCAGUGGGGAAUUUUGGACAAUGGGGGCAACCCUGAUCCAGCCAUGCCGCGUGAGUGAAGAAGGCCUUCGGGUUGUAAAGCUCUUUCGGCCGGGAAGAAAUCGUAUGGGUUAAUACCCUGUGCGGAUGACGGUACCGGCAUAAGAAGCACCGGCUAACUACGUGCCAGCAGCCGCGGUAAUACGUAGGGUGCGAGCGUUAAUCGGAAUUACUGGGCGUAAAGCGUGCGCAGGCGGUUUUGUAAGACAGGCGUGAAAUCCCCGGGCUCAACCUGGGAACUGCGCUUGUGACUGCAAGGCUAGAGUAUGGCA
rnacentral:rRNA from 1 species